UCUCCGUUGUCAUAGCACAGAAAUGGGAUUUAAGAAGGAGGAACGACGCAGUAUCUCUUACAACUCACAGGCUCAAGUUUAAUAACAACGGGUGGAACAUACAAUUUAUGAAUCCAACCAUGGCAAUGAUUAGUUUUGCUAUGUGUGCAAUGCUGGCGGUCAUCCAAGUUGCGAGAACAGCUAAUGUUACCUGCUACAAUUGUAACAGCUCAACCGACCCUAGUUGUAAGGACCCCUUCACCGCAACUAAUACCACAACAUGUUCCGACGCAUGCGUGAAAGCCAAACUCGGAAGCGUUGUAACCAGAGGUUGCUCCGUCAGCAGAUCGGGCGAUCGCUGUUUUACUCUAUUAGGUGCAGGCACAUGUAUUUGUUCAAAAGACCUCUGCAACGUUUCCAGUCACGUCACCGUUACCAUGGGGACAAUGAUAAUCCUCUCAACGUUUUUUCUCGUGAGCAAAAUGAUUUUAUGUGGUUUAUGUUCUAACUGUGAUAUGACUUACAUUAAAUAUAGUUGUUUUCAAUUGUAGUGUAAACCUAUA